UCUGAAAGAAAAUCAGCAUAGUUCCAAUGUCUAAGUAACCCAAUCAUUAUAAAACUUAGAGGUUUGAAAUGUAAACUUAAGAGUUUGAAAUGUAUAUAAAAAUCAAGCAUUUCCUUGUUAGAUAUAGUGGAGUCUAUGACAUAGCAACUAAAAGUUUCGAAUUCUCUAUGGACAGGAUAAGAAAGUGGUACUGGUCCAUGAACUACGUUUUGAGUAAGGAAUGUAAACACGGGAUCCUAGCACUUGGGAGGUGGAUUCAGCAAGAUCAUGAGCUGGAAGCUAGCCUGGACUACAUAAGGAGACUUGGUCUCAAGACAAAUUCAAUGCCAAACCAACCAACCAACCCAGCAAACAACCAACCCAAGUGCUCGUAGAAGAGUGUAACUGUUGAAAUGAGCCAAGAUUAUUGAGUCUACGGGGUCAAGGAGAGAAAUGGAAAUACUACUACCCAGAGUUAUGCCUUGCCACUCACUACCAAAAUUUUGCUUCCUCCUCCCAGCCCUGAUCUUACGUUGUUGGCCCAGAAGUAUUGCUUCCUCUGGGGAAAGUGCUUCUAAAUGGAGGUACAACCAUUGCAUUGAACAGGGCACUAAGACUUCCACAGGGCUACUUUCUCAUGGCACUGAGUCAACAGGCUUAGAAAAGAGUUCUAUUUGAGCAGGAAUGACUGAUCUAGACGAUUAAAGAGAAAUGGGACUAUUUCUCCAAAAUGGAGGUAAGAGAGAACAUUUCUGAACUGCAAGCAAUCCCACAGGGUGUCUCAGAAUAUUAGCAGGCCCUACUUACCAUUAAAGUCAAUGGGAACUACAAUAACCCAAUCUAGGCAGAAUGAUAAACACGCCAGACAGAAGCUGUGGGUAGAGAACCAAGGUCUAUUGUACUUGCAGAGAGUGGAAGAAAUACAGAAUAGGUAGAAGGUAGUCAUAAACAUUAGUUAGGGGCACGUGACUAGUUCUAGAAAGAAGAUCUAAUUUGUUAAGAAUGUUUAUACACACACACACACACACACACACACACACACACACACACAGAAUUUUCCCAGUCUUUUAUACAGAGAGAGAGAGACAGAGACAGAGACAGAGAGAGAGAGACAGAGACAGAGAGAGAGAGAGAAUUUUUCAAGUCUUUUAUACUAUAACAGAACAUUGAGUCAAGCACAAGUACUUAACUGGAAAAACUUUGUAUUAUCAUUUUAAGUUCUGGGAUGUCAAAAGAUCAAGCAUCCCUCAAGAGAUUUUCCCACCUAUACUACGGAAAGAAUCUGGGUGUUUUCAGUUGUUUUUGGAAGAGUUGUAUUAGGAGAAAUCAUGACUCUUUAAUUCACAUUAUUUGACAUUUAAGCAUGUCAGGACAUGUGGUUGAAUACUGACAAGAGAUGGACUGAUGGUUAGUUUUGACUGUCAACUUGAAUGGAGUAAACAAUGCUUAGAGCUGAGUGUCUGUGAAUGUAUAACAUAAAGUGUAUGAUCAUGGGCUGUUUACAUCUGUUGAAAGUGGACUCUGAGGGCAAGGAGGGCCCUCUUUCCAGACUCCAGGAUGUAUAUUUCAAGUUUUCUCCAAAUUCCCUGUUCUGGGGCAGGCUUAGUACCCAACUAUACAACACACAGAAAAGAGACUAGCAGACAGCAAAGGGGUGUUAAAUAACAAAGCUGGAAGAUACAGACUAUUUCCAAUUGGGGGUACUGUUGUUUAUCACAUUGUAUAAAAUGCCUGGAUUGGGAAUAAGAAACUGGAAGCUCAGGCAUGAAGAGUUAGUUCUCAGUCUAAAAUUUUUUGCUUUGGAACUGCAGUAUGGCUUCCAUAGUCAUUUCUCAUGGACGUUGCAAUUGCCGGAUUUUUGGGCUAUCCAGUGGCUCUGAUAGAUGUUGCAAGGGUCCAGUUUUAUGAUGUUUUGCUGUUUUUGUCUGUUGUGCUUAUCUACAGCUUGCUAUUUGUUCUUUUACUUUUCCUUGCUACAAUUUAAUAAACUCACUCAUUUGAAAACCAAAGUACCAAAGUACAGCUACUGUAGAUCAUUCUCCAGAAAGAACAGCGUGGACUACCAGAAAGGAAUGACAAGUGGGUCAGUGAUUAGGAGAGAACCUCAAUGUUUGUUUUUGUUUUUCCAAUGAAAAAGCAUCGUGUGUUGUACCUGCUGUCCUUUUUCUUUCAGCAAGUACAUCUAUUAUUGUGGUUGUAAUUUUCUAACAUUCUGGUUUCUUUGGCCUUUCAAUGUGACUCAAUGCCAAGGUACUCUCCAGGGAACAUGGAGACCUACAAUUAUAUUGUAAUUGCAGAGGCACCAAUCUUCUUAGAAGGAGCAGCUAUUGUGCUCUCUGCUUCUCCAGUGUGCAGAUGACCAUUGGACUACUCAGCCCCUACUGUGUAAGCAAAUCUAAUACAUUCCUCUUCUAAAGAACCCUGUCUAUUAUAGAGCCAACACCGUUCCAAGUAAGACAUGCAAAUAUGACUGCAAGCCACAAAUUCCUGGCUCUUCUUGUUAAGGAUAUAUUUCCUGAUGUUGUCCACAAGUAAAACACAAUAAUAUAUUUGCCUACAGUGAAAUAGGAAAUAGUGACUACCUGACUUUGCAUAUCAAUUCCUCUGAUAUUUGAACCAAAUAAUAAAUCACAGAUAAAGUUUAGUUAAGUUUUUCAAAUUCAGUGUUGAUUUCUUUUACACAGUUAAGCUAAAAUAUUUGUUAUGUAAUACUGUCCAUCAACCCACACUUAUGGUUUAUCUAAACCCAAAUUAAAAUUUAGUAAAGAUAUUUUCUAGCCAGGCGGUGGUGGCGCACACCUUUAAUCCCAGCAUUUGGGAGGCAGAGGCAGGCGGGUCUCUGUGAGUUCGAGACCAGCCUGGUCUACAAGAGCUAUUUCCAAGACAGCCUCUAAAGCCACAGAGAAACCCUGUCUCCAAACCACCCCUCCCCAAAAGAUAUUUUCUAAGAAACAACAACAGGACAUCAAACCAAAUACCCCCCCAACCCAAAUAAAUGACCCCUACGCCCCUGUAAUUCAUAAGAGAGACGAUAAAAUGCUUUAAUUACUUACCUUGUAUGUCUGGAAGGUACUUCUGGUACUGAUCAAUUUCACUGCUAAAAAUAGCAAAGGCCAAUCUUUUGAGAAGCAUUGCUCUCUGUUCUAGCUCCACAUCCCGAUUUGCAAAAAGAUUGAGAGAACUGCUUUGGGCCACAGCUACUCGAGCUAUAAAAAGGAAUGAAGGAGAGGCAUUCCAGUCAUCUGAAAGCAACCAUUUCUUAAUUAAAAUCAGUGACUACCUCAUGACAUACACACUGAGAGGAAUAUAGCAGAGGACCUGGACCUUUCUCUGGUGCAGAAAAGCAGACAGUCUGAGCAUACACAUGCCUGAAGGUCAAAUGGCAGGAUUUUGAUGUAGACAGACAAGAAUACUUAGAACUGUGGGUUUUAGAGGGAAAAAUGUCUAAUAAUACUAUUUUGUAACUCCUAUCUGCUCAAAUAUUUCGUUAAAUCUUUUGUAUUAUUUUAAAAAAUAAUUUCUAGAGAAACCUAGCUUGGUCUGAUUUCCUGUUCUUCAUUUAGCUCCUUGUUCCUAACUUCCUCUAUGACAUAAACUCACCAAGUUUGCUCCCAUCCCAA